rnacentral:rRNA from 1 species
UACGUAGGGGGCAAGCGUUGUCCGGAUUUAUUGGGCGUAAAGAGCGUGUAGGCGGCCAUACAGGUCCGUUGUGAAAACUGGAGGCUUAACCUCCAGACGUCGAUGGAAACCGUAUGGCUAGAGUCCGGAAGAGGAGAGUGGAAUUCCUGGUGUAGCGGUGAAAUGCGCAGAUAUCAGGAAGAACACCAGUGGCGAAGGCGGCUCACUGGCCCGGUACUGACGCUGAUGUGCGAAAGCGUGGGGAGCAAACAGG